rnacentral:rRNA from 1 species
UACGGGGGGGGGUAAGCGUUGUUCGGAAUUACUGGGCGUAAAGGGCUCGUAGGCGGCCAACUAAGUCAGACGUGAAAUCCCUCAGCUUAACUGGGGAACUGCGUCUGAUACUGGAUGGCUUGGAUUCGGGAGAGGAAUGCGGAAUUCCAGGUGUAGCGGUGAAAUGCGUAGAUAUCUGGAGGAACACCGGUGGCGAAGGCGGCAUCCUGGACCAACACUGACGCUGAGGAGCGAAAGCUAGGGGAGCAAACGGG